ACUCCGAUAUUGUAAUGGCAGCAUUUCAGUCUCCAAAACUGACAGUAUAGGCUCGGGUCUGGUUCGGAGUGC
rnacentral:tRNA from 1 species